UCUUUCUCUUAUAUUUCUCCAAUCUCUGUCUCCCCCAAUCAUUUGUAUUUCAAAUUUAAGGAAUUUUGUUGGAUGAUUUUAGUUAUUAAAAAUAAUGAAUUAUUUAACCCUUCCAAGUCUUAAAAGGAAAGAAAUUUUAAUUCCUUUUUUCGUUUUUUAUUUUUAAUAUUGGAGCUGGAGUGGAGUUGGAUGCCAUUAUGGGGGAGGGAGGGGCUUCACCAGCUUGUGGUAUCAAGCAACUAACAACUCGGACUCUCCGAGUUUCAACACGCUAAAUGGACCCUCCGAUUUCUCUCUCAGCAGACGCACGGUCCGAUUUCGAAGGAGAUGGACACGCAUCGCGUUGCAGUAGCUCCCCAAAAAGUGUCCUGAAACCAAACACUUACUCAUGCAUUCACCCCGCUCACCAUCCGAAAACAUCACUCUCUCAACUUUUAUUUUCAAGCUGAAGCCCCCAUUGUUCCUUCUUUCUCCUCUUAGCUGUGCAUGGUUGAAGAAAUAAAAGCAUGCUAAAAAAGUAUAAAACUAAGGAUGUUGAUCGACCUGAGUUUCAUGUUAUGCAUUAUCUCAGUCAUCCCGAUUAUAAGUUAAGAAUGUUGACAUGUGACCAUCCAGUUCUUCCGGAUCGGUACAAUGAUAGGGUGGAGGAGAAUCUAUGACUUACCAGCUUUUAUCAUGCAUCACAGAUUGGGGUAGUUCAAUGUGAAAAGGCACUGGUGAAUGCUCUAAUCGAGCGGUGAUACCCCGACACACAUACGUUUUACCUUUCCAUUGGUGAAUGUGCCGUGACUCUUGAAGAUGUGGCUAUAAUUCUUGGUCUUCCAACGGACGGACUUCCAAUUACAGGGAUGACAAUGAGUAGUUUUGAAGUCUUGGAGGCGGAGUGUUUGCAUCAAUUUGGAGUUGCACCGCAUAAGUCGGACUGUAGAGGUAGCUGUAUAAAACUGACUUGGCUGCGAGAUCUUAAAGAAAAUUUACACUUUACUAAUGAAAUUGGUAUACAGAGGUAUGUCAAGUGCCACAUUAUGUUGCUUAUCGGAACGAUCUUGUUUGGGGAUAAAUUAGGGGCAGAUGUGCACUGGAAGUUUCUACGAUUGCUUCGUGAAUUUGGUAUUAUUAUACAAUACAGUUGGAGAUCUGCAUGCCUAGCACACCUCUACAGGGCGUUAUGCUGGACAUCUCGAGUUGACUGUAAGAAAAUAGAUGGCCCACUAACACUUCUGCUCGGUUGGGCUUGGAUCCGACUGCUAUAUCUAUCGCCGGUUCCUAGGGAGCCCCGCAGUUUUUCGCUAGAAACAGGUGGCGAAACUGGAAGCGUGGUGACCGACGAUAUAGAUAUAUGAAGCUAGCUGACUUUAGGAAGGCUUUUGAUGAACUUUAGGAAGGCGAUUUUGUGUGGAUUGCGUAUGCUGUGGAUCGCAUGGAUCCGAACAUAAUUCCUGCAGAAAUCUAUAUGCACUCGGUUGUCUGGAGCGCUACAGUGCCUUUGGUGUCAUUUGAAUGUAUCGAGUGGCAUGCUACCGAUAGGUAUAGGCGACAAUUCAGAUUCGUUCAGGGAGUACCUCAUGAGGAGCGGAAUCUGGACAAGGCGCAUGGAGAAGUCCUCACUGGUGGUCCUAAGAAUAUUAACUGGGCCACGGCACCGACUCAUUACAGUUGGGUGAUGCAUUGGACAAACAGGCAUCACCACGUUCUUUCUGAGCUUCCCAUGCCUUCACAGCAUCCGUUGGAUACUUACAUGCAUUGGUACCGAGGAAAAUUUGGGAACCGCUUGAACUUGUCGAAUCUUGUGGGUAAAGAGAAUGAUGAGGGUAAUCAGGAUUUGGAUGAGGGUAAUCAGGAUAUGGAUGAUGACAAUAAAGAACAGGAGCCACAUUCUCCUCAGAUACCACCUCCAAAUCCGCUUCCAUAAGAACAACCUCAUUUCUCAGGCCAGUAUGUACCUCAGACACAUUUCAACCCAUCAUUUCCACAGCAUCAACAAUAUUGGGGUGUGUCACAGUUUGAACCAUGCGAAGGCGGUUCUUUUAGCCAGUUGCUUGGGUUUAUGGUUGGAGAUGUAGGACAAUCACAAUUUGGCCAUCAAACUGAGUUCAUGCCAGGGAGGUAUUCGUUGGAUGCGAGGUAUCCGGGCCAUACCUCAUCGGUGGCUUCUGGAGGAUUCGUAUUUGUUGACUCUAGUAGGAGUGACGGUGGACGCGGAGUUCUUAAUAGUCAAAAUCCGCACCCUGUUUCCAUGGGACUCAUUGAAGAAAAUGCUAACACACUCGAUCAAGAGACCAAUGCGUAUCUAGUGGACAACCCGGAUGACGAGGACGAUAAUGAGGAGGAUGAAAUAGAGGAGUUCGAUGAGGACGAAGAUUCCUGUAAUGAUGGUCAGGCACGCACUCUGGAUGACAAAGACAAAGGUUACAAUCUUAGGAUUGAUCUUCCAUGUCGUAGCGCUAAUCGCUACACUCCAUCUGUGUUCAAAAAGGCCGCCAAGAAAUGCAAGGAAUUUGUGAAGGAUGUAAAGUGAUCAAUGAGAAAAUAGUUAUGGUGUAAUGAACUUAUUUACGUAUUAAUGAACUGGACUAUGUUUAAAGAUCCUUGUAUGUGUUGGUCCUUAUGUAUUAUUUAGUUGGACUAUAGUAAGGUUACUUUG